UUUCCGUAGGUGAACCUGCGGAAGGAUCAUUACAGAGUUCAUGCCCUCACGGGCAGAUCUCCCACCCUUGAAUAUUUAUACCUUAGUUGCUUUGGCAGGCCGUGGAAACACCAUGGGCUCCGGCUUAUGCGUGCCUGCCAGAGGAAACAAACUCUGUUUUUAGUGAUGUCUGAGUACUAUAUAAUAGUUAAAACUUUCAACAACGGAUCUCUUGGUUCUG
rnacentral:misc_RNA from 1 species